rnacentral:lncRNA from 1 species
UGAAGGCCUUCAAAACCAGGCAUAUUGUAACAAGGAAGAACAAGUCUUAGGGAAAUUGUCAACUGAGUUUAAAGACAAGCAAGUAGAAUAUAUCUAUGAAUUCUGGAUCACAGCCAAGCUGUCCAGCACCUUUCCUGAAGGACCAAAGUCAUAGUUGUUAGUUCUGAGUCACAUUCGGAUAGAACACGGAAUUUCAGACAGCAAAUGAUGACUGUGUCAUUCAGACCUUCUCUGAUAAAGCAGAGCUGUCCUGCAUAUGGAUGUUCAGAUGUGUUCACAUAGGAGGGCAGGAAUGAAAUAUCUUGG